GGGACGGGGUGCGGACCGGCCAUGUCGGAGGUGACCCGGAGUCUGCUGCAGCGCUGGGGCGCCAGUUUUAGGAGAGGCGCCGACUUCGACUCUUGGGGCCAGCUGGUGGAGGCGAUAGACGAGUAUCAGAUAUUAGCAAGGCAUCUCCAAAAAGAGGCUCAAGCUCAACACAAUAAUUCUGAAUUCACAGAAGAACAAAAGAAAACCACAGGCAAAAUUGCCACAUGCUUGGAAUUACGAAGUGCAGCUUUACAGUCCACACAGUCCCAAGAAGAAUUUAAACUAGAGGAUCUGAAGAAGCUAGAACCAAUCGUAAAGAAUAUUCUUACAUAUAAUAAAGAAUUCCCUUUUGACGUUCAGCCUGUCCCAUUAAGAAGAAUUUUAGCACCUGGUGAAGAAGAGAAUUUGGAAUUUGAAGAAGAUGAAGAAGAGGGUGGUGCUGGAGCAGGGUCUCCUGAUUCUUUUCCUGCCACAGUUCCUGGUACUUUAUUACCACGGUUGCCAUCAGAACCAGGAAUGACGUUACUCACAACCAGGAUUGAGAAAAUUGGUCUCAAAGAUGCUGGGCAGUGCAUCGACCCCUACAUCACAGUUAGCGUAAAGGAUCUGAAUGGCAUAGACUUAACUCCUGUGCAGGAUACUCCUGUGGCUUCAAGAAAAGAAGACACAUAUGUUCAUUUUAAUGUGGACAUUGAGCUGCAGAAGCAUGUUGAAAAAUUAACCAAAGGUGCAGCUAUCUUCUUUGAAUUUAAACACUACAAGCCUAAAGAAAGGUUUACCAGCACCAAGUGUUUUGCUUUCAUGGAGACGGAUGAAAUUAAACCUGGGCCAAUUGUAAUAGAACUAUGCAAGAAACCCACUGACUUCAAAAGAAAGAAAUGGCAGCUAUUGACCAAGAAACCACUUUAUCUUCAUCUACAUCAAACUUUGCACAAGGAAUGAUCCUGACAUGAGUAGCCUGGAACUUCUGUGAAUUUCACCACUCAGUAGAAACCAUCAUAGCUCUGCGUAGCGUAUUCACCCUUCCACAGGCCGGAAGCGAGCCGUGCCCAUGCCAGCAGGCCAGAGUGAGUCCCUUCAUUGCACCACCGUGCCGCAGAAUUUCAAGUCCAGCACAUCACUGACGUGUAAGGCGCCUUUGGGUAUUGCAGAUUUGGAAACAUGUUUUUACUUUUCUAUUAAUUGUGCAAUUAAUAGUCUAUUUUCUAAUUUACCACUAUUCCUACCCUGCUUCCUGGAACAGCACUUACGGGUAGGACAUGCUUAUCUUCAGACUUAAUACAGCAAUAAGAAUGUGCUAAAGUUUACACAUCUGUUCACUUCUGUGCCAACACGCUCUUUAGGUUUCCGAGCUAACGUCAGACUCUGGGUUGCUGUGGGUAGGAUAGUAUGAAACUGCUUCGAGAGGAACUCAUUGGCCCACUUUUGCUGUCGAAGGAGGAAAUGGAUUGGCUGCUCGUCAGAGGUGGCUUCAGCUCACCCUGAUGCUAGUUUUCCUCCUUAGUAGUAGUGUGCUUUGGCCAGAUCAGGAUCCCGUGGGGAGUGUGCCCCAAACUGCAGCAGCGAUUUUCCAGGUGACCGGGUUAUUUUUUUGAAAAGAGAGCAUAGUUUUAGUCGUGUUGAUCAGCUGUUCUCCAUCACAUUGUUAUUCUUCCUGAUAAUGAUUCGAGGCUUCACGUAGGAAUCAUCUCCUCAUAAUUACACACUUCUGUGAGUAUUCAGCUACCAUGAGGUAGCCGGCAGGUUGUCUGUAGUGUCUUCUGAAUCAUACAGUCUAAGACUAAUUGAGUCAGAUGCUAUGAGAUAUUGCAGGAAUCACUGCUGUUUUUCUGACAACUGAUUGUGAAACCUUAAAAGCCUGCAUAUCUCUUCUUACAGUGAUGAGUAUGCAAAUCUGGAAAGAUACUCUUUUUUUUUUUAUAUAUAUAGGUAGAUAGGCCUGCCAUUUACUUUCUAUUUAGAUAUACUGACAUUCAUCCAUAUGAAAAUAUGCAGGUCAUUAGCUUAUUAUAAUUUGACUAUUGACAUUCUUUUGACUUAGUAAUGGGGCAUAAAUGAAACUUUCAUAGUACACAUAAGGUGGAUAUUUGAUACACAGAACUCUAAGAUUUGUGGUGGUCUUUCUGUGGGUUAGAUGUAGAACCCACCUAUUUUAAUAUUCACUAUUGUAAAUGAACAACGCUGGCAUGAGGGGAAUGCGUGUCAGUACGUGGCCUAUUUUAAAGUAGUGUAAUCCUAGUCGUACCAUUCAGUAUGUUUGCUUUUUAAAUUAAGUAACCACAGUAAGUUGUUUCAGCCCUUGCACUUCCAGAGAGGUCGUCUUGACUCUCAGCUGUCUCUUAGGUUAGUUCUCUUCACCAGCUAGAUGCUAAUAAAACUCUAUGAGCCUGCAAGACUUCUCAGCCAAAUUUAGUCUUGUUUGUCUGUUUGACUGGAUUAAUUCAAAUUCUAAAAUGAUUCAAUCCACAGUAUCUCUAGGGGAUGAAGAACUUGCCUUAAUAAAUCACCUCCUUGUUCGCUCAAGUCUUAGACUACGAGUUGUCAGAUCCCCAGACUGUCAGGUCCUCAAGGGGCAAGAAUCCACUUCCUCCCGGAGGUGUAAAUUUUCUCAGGCGCUUGGCAGCACUCUGUACCCUGUGGAGUACUCAGUACCUUCUGUUGGAUGUUGCUGACGGGACCUAAGAAAUAAUCCCUUAUAAAACCUACUAUUAAAAUGUAGCAAGACUGAUACACCGUUCUUUUUCUUUUCUCAUAAACCAUAAGACAUGCGCAGCAAAAUGAUAAGUUACAUGGACAAGCAUCUGCUAUCCUUCACAGAAGUAUGGUUUAUAUGAACUACCAAUGCCUUUCAUCAGUAUUAAAGCAGCUUAAAUUGAGCAUCGUGUGAUUAGCUUAGCUUUAAUUCAGACUGGAAUGAAGUGACAAAAUGAGGGACUGUCUUAAAGCAGUUGACGCGGAAUCCUCCUCUUCCCACAAAUUAUUUAAAUUUACUUUCCAGGGCAAAAAGUUGGCCACUGAACAGUAACCACAACUAUAGCAGAAAUGCUUUCAGGCUGAAACACGGCUGCUUCAUAAAUGAGGUGGUUUUAGCAACUAAGCCCAGAGACACAGUUAGCAGGAGAAGGCUUCUGAAACAGAUGCAGCUCUUGAGAUGGACCAGUCUGGUGUUUAACUGAGGAGGGAUGCUCCACACACCAUCUGUACGUGGCAGCUUCCUUUGCGCUUUGCUGCACAAGUGAUGCAGUCAGAGGGAUAUGCAAGAGGCGAAUAAAAAAGAUUUAUUUUUUCUAUUUAACUAUCUUCCUAGCUGGUAUAAUCUAUAUUAAAAAUACUACUUAAAACUAGAAAUUAUUAUAUUAACUUAAGCAUUGUUUUGUGCAUCCUGAAGAGACUGACACAUUCGCAAACAUUGCUUGCGACUUAAUCUUACUUUACAUGGUUAAAAAUGGCCAGUGCUGUGAACUAUGGAGUUUUCCUCUUAGAUCUAAUUUUCUUUAGUCUUGAUACUAAGUGGGAGGACGUGUAGACUGAAUUCUUUCCCUUACGAACUCCUUAUGUAUGUAUUCCUUGUGAACUCUGAAACAGUUGUCUUCUUUCAAAGGGCCUGAUCUUUCUAGGAAAGUCACAUCUUUAGUUUGGAAUAAGGAGAAAAUUUUGUUUCACAUUGAAGCUUCUGCUCCUUUUUAAAAUGUAUUCUCAGUGGAUUAAACACCAUGACAGUCACAAGCCAUGCUCUACGUCAUAGUCUCACUGCCUUGUAGCACUUCGGAGAACGGGGGAACACAGUCCAGCAGUAAACAAGGUUAUCAGCCUUUUAUAAUUUAAAUCUUCAACUUAUUAAAAUGUGCUAUAUAAAGUUACUGUAGUUUAAAAUGUUUGAAAACUUUUAGUUCUUAGGAACACUGUCUUAAAAACAUAGCACACUAGUAAGUAUAAAAAGACUUCAAUUAUGAUACAAUCUCUGAUGCUUAGAUUUACUGAUUUUUAAAUACAAACACCAACAUUCACAUGUCAACUUGGAGCAGUUUUGAUCAACAACAACUAAAAAUUGAGUUCAGGCCAUGGUUACUGACCUAAGGCAAGUUACAAGCCUCACGGUCCUGAGUCACUGUUCCCUCGCAACAUUACACUCUUCUGAUCUUUUCUGCUGUAUUCCUUCAAAAUCAGUGGCACCGUAAAGAAAUUUCAACAUUUUUAUGGUCACGAUACAUCAUUUUCAUUUUUCUAUUACGCAACCUUAAUACAAGAAUGGUAAACGGAACAGAACAUCAGGUUGAACAGCUCUUACUAGUAAUGUGAACUCACUCAGAAACCACCGUCAGGGUCCUAAGAAAGCACACGUAUGCUAUACAGGUGGGGCUGCUGGCUUCGUU